rnacentral:rRNA from 2 species
GCAGUCGACGACUCUGGUAUUGAUUGGUGCUUGCAUCAUGAUUUACAUUUGAGUGAGUGGCGAACUGGUGAGUAACACGUGGGAAACCUGCCCAGAAGCGGGGGAUAACACCUGGAAACAGAUGCUAAUACCGCAUAACAACUUGGACCGCAUGGUCCGAGUUUGAAAGAUGGCUUCGGCUAUCACUUUUGGAUGGUCCCGCGGCGUAUUAGCUAGAUGGUGGGGUAACGGCUCACCAUGGCAAUGAUACGUAGCCGACCUGAGAGGGUAAUCGGCCACAUUGGGACUGAGACACGGCCCAAACUCCUACGGGAGGCAGCAGUAGGGAAUCUUCCACAAUGGACGAAAGUCUGAUGGAGCAACGCCGCGUGAGUGAAGAAGGGUUUCGGCUCGUAAAACUCUGUUGUUAAAGAAGAACAUAUCUGAGAGUAACUGUUCAGGUAUUGACGGUAUUUAACCAGAAAGCCACGGCUAACUACGUGCCAGCAGCCGCGGUAAUACGUAGGUGGCAAGCGUUGUCCGGAUUUAUUGGGCGUAAAGCGAGCGCAGGCGGUUUUUUAAGUCUGAUGUGAAAGCCUUCGGCUCAACCGAAGAAGUGCAUCGGAAACUGGGAAACUUGAGUGCAGAAGAGGACAGUGGAACUCCAUGUGUAGCGGUGAAAUGCGUAGAUAUAUGGAAGAACACCAGUGGCGAAAGCGGCUGUCUGGUCUGUAACUGACGCUGAGGCUCGAAAGUAUGGGUAGCAAACAGGAUUAGAUACCCUGGUAGUCCAUACCGUAACGAUGAUGCUAGUGUUGGAGGGUUUCCGCCUUCAGUGCUGCAGCUAACGCAUUAGCAUUCCGCCUGGGGAGUA